rnacentral:rRNA from 1 species
AUGAUACCUCAGCCUGAUAAAAGCGUAACUAGCUUCACUGGGAAUCGCAUCUGGGAAGUUUUUUCACCUGGGCAAAUGAUUGAGGGUGAUGUAAUGGACUUCCUCAUUGAUGAUUGGAAGCAAGAUCCCGAGAGAAAUGCUGAUUUCGCAUCUGGGAAAAGGGUAUUGCUGAGUCCAUAUUUCAUGACGAUCAUGAUGCCUCUAUUCAAGCCAAUGAUUUUAGGAAAGGAUAAGAAAGUGAAUCACUAUUCCUUAUAUGUCAUGAAUCGGUACCGAAGUAGCGUUGACAUCCUUGACUCUUUACCUUAUCCGAAGAACCACCGUCCUUCAAAGAACACCUAUCAUAAAGACUGCGAGAAGAUUAUUUCUAGAUUGGUCAAAGUAAUGAAGGCUCUGUAUGGUGAUGCUCAGUACAAUGCGAGCAAGCAGCCCAAUUGGGAGCUGUUUGCAAAGAAACCAACGUUUGUCAAGGUUCCACUUCAAGGGGAAAAUGAGUGUGGCCAUUAUACUCUGAAGUAUGCGGGAUGCUAUGAUGGUGAAAAGAUCAUUGAGAACAUUCGAGAUAAUGACCCACGCAUUGUUGACUAG